GACGAACCGUGCGAACGUUGUUCGGAAUCACUGGGCUUAAAGGGCGCGUAGGCGGGUUCCCAAGUCCGGGGUGAAAUCUUUCGGCUUAACCGGAAGACAGCCCCGGAGACUGGGAGUCUCGAGCGAGGUAGGGCAGCUGGAACUUCCGGUGGAGCGGUGAAAUGCGCAGAUAUCGGGAGGAACACCAGUAGCGAAGGCGGCUCGCUGGGCCGUUCCUGACGCUGAGACGCGAAAGCGUGGGGAGCAACAG
rnacentral:rRNA from 1 species